GGGUUAGGGCGUGCAUGGACGCCCGUGGACUCCGUUUCCCAACCUUGACAUGGUAGGGGUCACAGGUUCGAACCCUGUACCGCCCACCA
rnacentral:tRNA from 2 species